UCAGGAUGAACGCUGGCGGCGUGCUUAACACAUGCAAGUCGAACGAAGCGCAUUGUUUGAAUUCUUCGGAAGGAAGAUAAUGUGACUGAGUGGCGGACGGGUGAGUAACGCGUGGGUAACCUGCCAUGUACAGGGGGACAACAGUUGGAAACGGCUGCUAAUACCGCAUAAGCGCACGAGAUUGCAUGAUCUAGUGUGAAAAACUCCGGUGGUAUAUGAUGGACCCGCGUCUGAUUAGCUAGUUGGUAAGGUAACGGCUUACCAAGGCGACGAUCAGUAGCCGACCUGAGAGGGUGACCGGCCACAUUGGGACUGAGACACGGCCCAGACUCCUACGGGAGGCAGCAGUGGGGAAUAUUGCACAAUGGGCGAAAGCCUGAUGCAGCGACGCCGCGUGAACGAAGAAGUAUUUCGGUAUGUAAAGUUCUAUCAGCAGGGAAGAAGAAAUGACGGUACCUGACUAAGAAGCCCCGGCUAACUACGUGCCAGCAGCCGCGGUAAUACGUAGGGGGCAAGCGUUAUCCGGAUUUACUGGGUGUAAAGGGAGCGCAGGCGGCCCGGCAAGUCUGAUGUGAAAACCCAAGGCUCAACCAUGGGAUUGCAUUGGAAACUGUCGAGCUAGAGUAUCGGAGGGGUAAGUGGAAUUCCUAGUGUAGCGGUGAAAUGCGUAGAUAUUAGGAGGAACACCAGUGGCGAAGGCGGC
rnacentral:rRNA from 1 species